rnacentral:rRNA from 1 species
AUUGAACGCUGGCGGCAGGCCUAACACAUGCAAGUCGAGCGGUAGAGAGGUGCUUGCAUCUCUUGAGAGCGGCGGACGGGUGAGUAAUGCCUAGGAAUCUGCCUAGGUGGUGGGGGGAUAACGUUCGGAAACGGACGCUAAUACCGCAUACGUCCUACGGGAGAAAGCGGGGGAUCUUCGGACCUCGCGCCAUUAGAUGAGCCUAGGUCGGAUUAGCUAGUUGGUGAGGUAAUGGCUCACCAAGGCGACGAUCCGUAACUGGUCUGAGAGGAUGAUCAGUCACACUGGAACUGAGACACGGUCCAGACUCCUACGGGAGGCAGCAGUGGGGAAUUUUGGACAAUGGGGCGCAAGCCUGAUCCAGCAAUGCCGCGUGCAGGAUGAAGGCCUUCGGGUUGUAAACUGCUUUUGUACGGAACGAAACGGUGAGCUCUAAUACAGUUUGCUAAUGACGGUACCGUAAGAAUAAGCACCGGCUAACUACGUG